GAUUUCAAUUGAAAAAGUCAUCGAUAACAAAGAUGUAUAACUCACCAAGAUCUAUAACUUUUAUUUUGGUCAUUUCUUCAUCCGAUAAAAUGAUAGUACCAUUGUUCACGAAAUUAACAUAUUUCUCAUCUGGUUUAUAAACUAUAAGACAGAUAUGUCCAUUUUAUGAACAAUAUUACUGAAACUUUAUCGGAUGAAGAAAUGACAAAUAUAAAAGUUAUAGGUCUUAAUGAGUUAUACAACUUUGUUGUUGAUGACUUUUUUAGUUGAAAUC
rnacentral:pre_miRNA from 1 species